GGAUGAACGCUAGCGGCAGGCCUAAUACAUGCAAGUCGAACGGUGAUAUUUAUAUCAUAGUGGCGCACGGGUGCGUAACACGUAUGCAACCUACCUAUUAUUGGGGGAUAGCCUUUGGAAACGGAGAUUAAUACCGCAUAAUACGAUUAACUGGCAUCGGUUGAUUGUUAAAGCAUUUGCGAUAAUAGAUGGGCAUGCGUCCAAUUAGUUAGUUGGUGUGGUAAUGGCUCACCAAGACGAUGAUUGGUAGGGGAUCUGAGAGGAUAAUCCCCCACACUGGCACUGAGAUACGGGCCAGACUCCUACGGGAGGCAGCAGUAGGGAAUAUUGGGCAAUGGGCGGAAGCCUGACCCAGCCAUGCCGCGUGCAGGAAGACGGCGUUAUGCGUUGUAAACUGCUUUUUUAUAGGAAGAAGGAUCCCUUGCGAGGGAAGGUGACGGUACUAUAAGAAUAAGCACCGGCUAACUCCGUGCCAGCAGCCGCGGUAAUACGGAGGGUGCAAGCGUUGUCCGGAUUUAUUGGGUUUAAAGGGUGCGUAGGCGGUUUAUUAAGUCAGUGGUGAAAGACGGUC
rnacentral:rRNA from 1 species